GGGGAUGUGGCUCAGUGGUAGAGCGUCCGCUGUAGGCUACUCCAUUAUCUGCUGCCAUCGUCUUCGGAUUCUAAUUUCUUCGUAGUUGCACUUAUCAAGAGUUCGCCUGCGGAAGGCCCGGGGUUCGAUCCCCCGCUUCUGUG